AUAGGCUCCGGCACCCCCGCGACCCCGAAAGGGAAGACGCGGUCAAGAAAUUGGAUGGAUGGAUGGAGUAUUUAUCACAUCUUCUUAAUCCAGCAUAUGUGUACUGCUUAUCACAGCUGUAUCAUACAGAACGUCACUAUAUCAGUGGCAGAGUGAGAACAUUUCACUGCUUUCUCCCUCAGUCCAAAGACAUGCUUCAUUGGUAAAUUGGUGUCUUUUGAAUUUCCCUGUGACUGUCUCUGUGAUGGACUUGAGACUUCUCUUUUCAGUUGCUGGGUAGUCACAGGCAACCCCAUGACCUCAAACAGGAAUAGAGCGGAUUCAGAGUAUAGAAUUAAAAAUCGUACCAUAAACUUCAGAAAGAAGGGGAGACAAAGAAAAAAAAUACUUUUUGUGCUCUUGUGUGUGUGUGUGUCAAACUGGAAGGCAGUGAGUUGUCUAAACAGACUAAAAUAGAUGCAGGCAUUCCUCUCUGUAAUUCUGACUGACUGAUUUUCUCUCUGUCUGACUGAACUGUGUUCAUAAUCCACUGUGGUCAGUUAGCAAACACACAGACAGCAGGGCGGAGCCGCCCUCACUGUAACCGCACACACGCACGUGCGGGUGCAUGUUGGGCACUCUCAACUGCAGUGAAGGGACAGAUCAGGACAUAAUGUGACCCCACAGAAUGAGGAUGACAACCCUGUUCAGAGGAUGAAAGUGUUCCUCUUCUUCUGUCCAUCUCAACCAAACUGGUCCUGCUGAAAGAACAGCUUGAGAUAUGAACUGGUUCAAUUUUUCUAUCCCAAUCCUUCACUCUCUGCCUUAAACCAAAGCUGAUAAAACUUAAAGUGGAAUUCCAGGUGCUGGCAACCUUUUCAUUGCAGAUGCAACACCUUUGAGAAUGUUUUGUCAAUCAUCAGACUCGUCAUCCUAGUUAAACUUUGUAGGUAUACAUAUAUUAUUGGAGCAGUUUUUAAACGUAUCGUGCAUUUUGUAUUACUAGCACCAAAUUGAACAUGGAUGUAUUUUAGGAUCAACUUUUUCAGAAAACCCACGAGAAAAUCAGAGAUUUAAAAAAAGAAAAUAGCAAAAAAAAAAUUACAACUGAGUCUAUGGUCACCAUCUUUACAAAUGGACUCUUCUGAUAGAGGGGAUCCUAAGGUACAUCCAUCCCAAAUGUGGUGCUUGCACCACCAAAUUUGGCAUGGAUGUACUUUAGGAUCCUCUACUUCAGAAAACCCAGGAGAAAAUCUGAGAUUAAAAAAAUAAAAAACAUUGCAAAAUAAUUUGCAAUUUAAUGUAUGGCUGCCAUCUUUACAAAUGGCCACCAUUUUUGACUCUUCUGAAAGAUGGCAUCCAAUAGGGACAUCCAUGCCAAAUUUGGUGCAUGGUACCACCAAAAUAUAGCAUGAACGUAUCGUAGGAUACCCUCUUUCAGAAAGCCCACGGGAAAAAAAUCAGAGAUAAAAAAAAAAAAAAUGUGCAGAAAAACCCCAAAAAUUACUAUUGAGUUCAUGGCUGCCAUCUUUAUAAAUGAACGCCGUUUUGGACUUUUCUAGAAGAAGGCGUCCCAAGGUACAUGCUAAAUUUAGUGCUUGCACCACCAAAUUUGGCAUGAAUGUAUCUUAGGAUUCCCUCUUUCAAAAUACCCAUGAGAAAAUCCGAGAUUUAAAAAAAUUGGCAAAAAAUUUGCAAUUGAUUGUAUAGCUGUAUAGGUGCCAUUUUUACAAAUAAACACCAUUUUGGACUUUCUGAAAGAAGGCGUCCAAAAAGGGACAUCCAUUCAAAAUUUGUUGCGUGUGCCGCGAGAGUUUGGCAUGGAUGUACCUUAGAAUCUGCUCUUUCAGGAAAAAAAAAAAAA